CUUGAAUUUAAGAAGCUUAACUCAAUGAUUCAUCCAGUGUUGGAGAAGCAAUAUAAAGGAAUCACAGGCUUUAUCAACGUCUUUGUGAAGGGGUUCAGAGAAGGAAGUGUAAUUACAGACUUUGUUGUCCAGACAACACAAGUUAGUGUGGAUGAAAUAACUGAAGCAAAUAAUAAACUCCCA